rnacentral:rRNA from 1 species
UACGUAGGGAGCAAGCGUUGUCCGGAAUCAUUGGGCGUAAAGCGCGCGUAGGUGGCCCUGUAAGUCCGUUGUGAAAGUCAAAGGCUCAACCUUUGAAAGCCGAUGGAUACUGCAGGGCUGGAGUCCGGAAGAGGCGAGUGGAAUUCCUGGUGUAGCGGUGGAAUGCGCAGAUAUCAGGAGGAACACCAAUAGCGAAGGCAGCUCGCUGGGACGGUACUGACACUGAGGCGCGAAAGCGUGGGGAGCGAACAGGA